CCUGCCCCUAGGAGCUUUGCAGAUGUGGCUGCUGUAUCACAUGUGCAUUGGUAGGUAGCAGAGAGGAGAGAGGCUAUGUCUAUGCUCAGUGUUCUGACCGAUAGAUAUUUAUUAGUAGCCUAACAUU
ensembl:snoRNA